GUGUCAGCAGCCGCGGUAAUACGGAGGAUCCAAGCGUUAUCCGGAAUCAUUGGGUUUAAAGGGUCCGUACGCGGUUUAGUAAGUCAGUGGUGAAAGCCCAUCGCUCAACGGUGGAACGGCCAUUGAUACUGCUGAACUUGAAUUAUUAGGAAGUAACUAGAAUAUGUAGUGUAGCGGUGAAAUGCUUAGAGAUUACAUGGAAUACCGAUUGCGAAGGCAGGUUACUAUCAAUACAUUGACGCUGAUGGACGAAAGCGUGGGUAGCGAACAGGAUUAGAUACCCUGGUAGUCCACGCCGUAAACGAUGGAUACUAGCUGUUCGGGGCAACCUGAGUGGCUAAGCGAAAGUGAUAAGUAUCCCACCUGGGGAGUACGUUCGCAAGAAUGAAACUUAAAUGAAUUGACGG
rnacentral:rRNA from 1 species